GAUGUCACACUUCCUAGAAAAGCUUGUGUUUCCUGGUUAUGAAAGUAACCGCCUUACUAUGUAAGGCAACAAUAAAAAUACCUGUACCUAAAACCGACACAGGUAGGUUGGUAGAGAAUACUAAGGGGCGCGAGAGAACUCUCUCUAAGGAACUCGGCAAACUGGCCCCGUAACUUCGGAAGAAGGGGCGCCCCUUUUAUAAGGGCCGCAGUGACCAGGCUCUUGCAACUGUUUAUCAAAAACACAGGUCUCCGCAAAGUCGAAAGACAAUAUAUGGGGGCUGACGCCUGCCCAGUGCCGGAAGGUUAAGGAAGUUAGUCAUUCUUUUAGUAGAAAAAGCUGACGACCGAAGCCCCGGUGAACGGCGGUCGUAACAAUAACGAUCCUAAGGUAGCGAAAUUCAUUGUCGAGUAAGUUUCGACCUGCACGAAAGGCGUAAUGAUAAGAGCACUGUCUCGGAGAGAGGCUCGGUGAAAUAGACUUGUCCGUGAAGAUGCGGACUACAUACACCUGGACAGAAAGACCCUAUGAAGCUUGACUGUAUCCUGGAAUUGGGUUCGGGCUUUUCUUGCGCAGCCUAGGUGGGAGGCUUUGAAGGUUCCCUUCCGGGGGAAUCUGAGCCAUCAUUGAGAGACCACUCUGGAAGAGCUAGAAUCCUAAUGGUGAUCUUUGAAUCAAGACACUUGACAGUUUCAGGUGGGCAGUUUAUCUGGGGCGGAUACCUCCCAAAAGGUAACGGAGGUGUGCAAAGGUUCCCUCAGUCUGGACGGAAAUCAGACAUUGAGUGUAAAGGCAAAAGGGAGCUUGACUGCAAGACCUACAAGUCGAGCAGGGGCGAAAGCCGGCCUUAGUGAUCCGACGGUUCCGUGUGGAAGGGCCGUCGCUCAACGGAUAAAAGUUACUCUAAGGAUAACAGGCUUAUCUUCCCCAAGAGUUCACAUCGACGGGAAGGUUUGGCACCUCGAUGUCGGCUCAUCACAUCCUGGGGCGGUAGUACGUCCCAAGGGUUGGGCUGUUCGCCCAUUAAAGUGGUACGUGAGCUGGGUUCAAAACGUUGUGAAACAGUUUGGUCCAUAUCCGGUGUGUGCGUUGGAAUAUUGAGAGGAACCAAAGAUAGUACGAGAGGAUUUUUUUGGACAAACCAAUGGUGUAUCGGUUCUCACUCCAGUGGGAAACGCCGAGUAGCUAUGUUUGGAUUAGAUAACUGCUGAAAGCAUAUAAGUAGGAAGCUAACCUCAAGAUGAUUAUUCCCCAUUAGGCCGCGGGAAGAUUACCCGAUUGAUAGGUGUUAGGUGCAAGGUUAGCAAUAGCUUCAGCCAAGACAUACUAAAGGCCAAUUC
rnacentral:rRNA from 1 species